UACGAAGGGGGCUAGCGUUGCUCGGAAUUACUGGGCGUAAAGGGCGCGUAGGCGGGUCGUUAAGUUAGAGGUGAAAGCCCAGGGCUCAACCCUGGAAUUGCCUUUGAUACUGGCGACCUUGAGUAUGGCAGAGGUGUGUGGAACUCCGAGUGUAGAGGUGAAAUUCGUAGAUAUUCGGAAGAACACCAGUGGCGAAGGCGACACACUGGGCCAUUACUGACGCUGAGGAGCGAAAGCGUGGGGAGCGAACAGG
rnacentral:rRNA from 1 species